AGUGAACGCUGGCGGUAGGCCUAACACAUGCAAGUCGAACGGCAGCACAGUAAGAGCUUGCUCUUACGGGUGGCGAGUGGCGGACGGGUGAGGAAUACAUCGGAAUCUACUUUUUCGUGGGGGAUAACGUAGGGAAACUUACGCUAAUACCGCAUACGACCUACGGGUGAAAGCAGGGGAUCUUCGGACCUUGCGCGAUUGAAUGAGCCGAUGUCGGAUUAGCUAGUUGGCGGGGUAAAGGCCCACCAAGGCGACGAUCCGUAGCUGGUCUGAGAGGAUGAUCAGCAACACUGAAACUGAGAAACGGUCCAGACUCCUAGGGGAGGCAGCAGUGGGGAUAUUGGACAAUGGGCGCAAGCCUGAUCCAGCCAUACCGCGUGGGUGAAGAAGGCCUUCGGGUUGUAAAGCCCUUUUGUUGGGAAAGAAAAGCAGCAGGUUAAUACCCCGCUGUUCUGACGGUACCCAAAGAAUAAGCACCGGCUAACUUCGUG
rnacentral:rRNA from 1 species